GGAACUGGUUAGCUUAAAGCAGAAAGCAGAAGAGCAGCAGGAAGAGCUUCACAAGAAACAGGAAGAGUUGGUGAAACUUAACUUAUUGCUACAAGAAAAACACCAAGUAUACAUGCAGGCUGAAACAGCUUGCUUGUCUUUGGAGAAACUUCUCUCUCAAUCUCAGGAAAAGGAGAGGCUUCUCGAUCUGGAGAUUCAAGCUGGAAAUGAGAAGUUGAAAGAUGCCGAACUGAGAAAAGCGG
rnacentral:misc_RNA from 1 species